rnacentral:rRNA from 1 species
AGAGUUUGAUCCUGGCUCAGAACGAACGCUGGCGGCGUGCCUAACACAUGCAAGUCGAGCGAGAAAGUCUUCGGAUGAGUAAAGCGGCGGACGGGUGAGUAAUACGUAGGUAAUCUACCUUUUUGUGAGGAAUAACUAAGGGAAACUUUAGCUAAUACCACAUGUAGUUGCAGAUCUUAUGGUCUGUAAAAAAAGGGGGGUCGCAAGAUCUCUCGCAAGAAGAUGAGCCUGCGUCCGAUUAGCUAGUUGGUGAGGUAAUGGCUCACCAAGGCGACGAUCGGUAGCUGAUUUGAGAGAAUGAUCAGCCACACUGGAACUGACACACGGUCCAGACUCCUACGGGAGGCAGCAGUGGGGAAUAUUGCACAAUGGGGGAAACCCUGAUGCAGCGACGCCGCGUGGGUGAUGAAGGCCUUCGGGUUGUAAAGCCCUGUCGGCUGGGAACAAGGUAGACGUGCUCAUACCACGUUUGCUUGAGUGUACCAGCAAAGGAAGCACCGGCUAACCCUGUGCCAGCAGCCGCGGUAAUACAGGGGGUGCUAGCGUUGUUCGGAAUUACUGGGCGUAAAGGGCGCGUAGGUGGCUAUGUAAGUCAGGAGUGAAAUCCCGGAGCUUAACUUCGGAAUUGCUUUUGAAACUACAUGGCUAGAGUAUGUUAGAGGAGAUCGGAAUUCCUAGUGUAGAAGUGAAAUUCGUAGAUAUUAGGAAGAACACCGGUGGCGAAGGCGGAUCUCUGGGACAUUACUGACACUGAGGCGCGAAAGCGUGGGGAUCAAACAGGAUUAGAUACCCUGGUAGUCC